GGAGAUAGCUUAGUGGUAGAGUGCAUGCCUAGCAUGCACAAGGUCCUGGGUCCAAUCCCCAGUACCUCCA
rnacentral:tRNA from 1 species